rnacentral:tRNA from 1 species
GAGGGUAUAGCUCAGUGGUAGAGCGCGUGCUAAGCAUGCACGAGGUCCUGGGUUCAAUCCCCAGUGCCUCCA